rnacentral:rRNA from 1 species
AAAGAUUAAGCCAUGCAUGUCUAAGUAUAAGCAAUUAUACCGUGAAACUGCGAAUGGCUCAUUAAAUCAGUUAUCGUUUAUUUGAUAGUACCUUACUACUUGGAUAACCGUGGUAAUUCUAGAGCUAAUACAUGCUGAAAACCCCAACUUCGGGAGGGGUGUAUUUAUUAGAUAAAAAACCAACGCCCUUCGGGGCUUCUUGGUGAUUCAUGAUAACUUUGCGGAUCGCAUGGCCUUGCGCCGGCGACGGUUCAUUCAAAUUUCUGCCCUAUCAACUUUCGAUGGUAAGGUAUUGGCUUACCAUGUUUCAACGGGUAACGGGGAAU